AAUCAUAUUUAUGUUUUAUAUUAUUUCUUUCCCCUUUCAAGCCCUCUGAAAAAAAAGCAUUGGAUAUAAUGACAAUAUAGACGUCUGACACAAGUACAAAGUAGUCCCAGAUAGUCGAUAUCGUUACGUCGAACUUUGGAUAUGUCGAUGCAAUUUUUACAGUCCCUUGAAUAUCACGCAGAAAAGUUGAUGCCAUUGCAAAACUGACCUGGCAAGACCUAUAUGUAGGACUAUAUGCAGCCCAAAUACCCAAACCUAUUCACCUGGAUUGAAUUGCUGUUAACUCUCCUUUCUAGCUCUGUGGAUGCAGAGCUAGGAUUCUCAAGCCUGUCAAAUUCACCAAUCACAGUCUCAGUAUAGACACAGAUGAUGUGUUUCUAAUUGCUAAAGAACUUGACGUGGCUAGGGAAGGUGUAUGUGAUGAUGAUGGUGACAAUGACGACAAUGCCGCUGAUGAUGAGGACUACAUGCACAGACAAGACCUCAUUGCUGUCAAAACAGAGCUUAUAGACUUAUGAUGGACCUUGUUGAAUAAUAAUAACUAAAAAUAUGUAAUAAUAAUUGAGUUAAGUUGAAUAAUAUGACAGAAGUUUACUUAAAUUGCUCAACAGGCAGUAGAACCACCUGAAAUCUUGUUGGACCAGUAGUUUGCAAAAGUUGCCGGUCCUUUGGGCCACCACAUAAAAAAAGUUAUUGUCUAGCCCUGAACGUGUCGACAACUGAGCUUAACCGGCUGAACAGUUUAUGGCACCAUUACCUAGUAUUUGUUGUAGUGUGCCAAUGAGAGCAUUUGUCCAUUCAGCAUUGGAUUAUGUAGGACCUUUCAUUACUGUCCAAGGUCAAGGAAAACAGCCUGAAAUUUAUGUCUGUUUACUUGUCUGAACACAUGGGCUGUUCAUCUUGAAAUCUCAUUUGGAAUAGAUACUGAUGCAUUUCUAAAUUUAUUUUAUCAAUUUGCUGGUCGUACAGUUCUGUCGAAUAAUGGAACAAACUUUGUCGAUAGUGAAAAGGAACGCAGAUAAUUAGUAAACGUGCUGAAUCAUGAUCAAAUAAAAGAAAAGACAGCAAAUAAAGGAGUUCAGUGGCAUUUCAUUCCUAGAUUAGCACCAUAUUGGGGAGGUGUACAUGAAAUCAUGAGUCAUUAAUUCCAUGUUACAGAAUGCAACAGUGUCAGAUAAGGAACUUAUGACCGCAUUUGUAGGAGCAGAAUCUCUUAUCAAUUUGAGACCUCUUAUUUAUCAGUCAGCUAACCCUGCUGAUUGCAUACCUCUUACUCCAAAUCAUUUCCAGCUUGGACAAAUAGGAGGAGAGUGCGCUCCUGAGAGCCUUGAUACAAAUGAUUUCAAUCCUAGAAAUAGUGCAAUUUCAAGAGUUAGUCCGAAACUUCUGAAGCUGUUGGAUUCGUGAAUGGUUGCCAAACCUAUGCACCUCCAAGAAAUGGAACUGAGUUUGACCAGAUCUGAAAGUUGGAGAUGUCCUUAUCAUGGUAUAGCCUGGCACGCCUCAAGCACAUUGGCCUUUAGAUCAUGUUACACGUGUUUAUACAAGUCACGAUGGUCAUGUGAGAGCAGCAAACAUUUUAGUAAAUGGUAAAGAAUUCACACAGCCCAUUACAAAGUUAUGCCCAUUAGAAAUUAACAGCAGUGAUUAACAGUAAUGUGUUAUGCAGAAAUGUUGCAUUUUUUAUGACAAAAGUGUAAAUAUUUCACAUGUGGAGGGCAUAAUAAUCCUUCAAAAAUAAUUUCGCGUGUGGAGGGCAUAAUAAUCCCUCAAAAAUAAUUUCGCAUGUGGAGGGCAUAAUCCCUCAAAAAUAAUGUCGCAUGUGGAGGGCAUAAUAAUCCCUCAAAAAUAAUUUCGCAUGUGAAGGGCAUAAUCCCUCAAAAAUAAUGUCGCUUGUGGAGGGCAUAAUAAUCCCUCAAAAAUAAUGUCGCAUGUGGAGGGCAUAAUAAUCCCUCAAAAAUAAUGUCGCAUGUGGAGGGCAUAAUAAUCCCUCUAAAAUAAUGUCGCAUGUGGAGGGCAUAAUAAUCCCUCAAAAAUGAUUCUGCGUGUGGAGGCCAUAAUAAUCCCUCAAUAUAUUUUAAAAUAAAGAAAUAUCUGAAACAUUAUAUUAUAAUCUUGGGCAAAGAGAAAGACAUUUUUCUCUUUCAGGAAAAUAGAAGAUGCACUGUAUAAAAAGAUGAAGAAGAUUGUAUUAUCAUUACUAUGUAUUGUAAUUUUUGACAUGUAUAUAUUUUCAGACAUAUAAUUGAAUUCUUGUAUCACAUAAGGCAAUUUUUCAAAAUGUUUGAAAUCAAUGAUACAAAAUUAAAAACAUGAAUACUUUUAUUAUUUGAACGCAUUGUAUUAAAUUGUGUUAUACCAAAAGGUCAUAAAUUUUGUCAAAAUUAAUGUUAUAGCUAAUAGUCAAUCUUUACAUGGUAUACAUUAUAGUACUGAAAACUGGAAAAAGUAACAGUGUUGCUGUAUCAUAUCAAUGUUAAAGUGAGUUACUAGAAAGUACAUGUACAUUUCAAGUUGCUGUUGAAAGUACUGGUUUAACAAGGAAAAUACUAGGAAGUUGUUUUCAUGAAACUCGUGUAUAGUAUUUAAAAUCGUGUUGAUAUAUUAUAUUUUGUUUAAAAUUUGGAUUUCAGUAAACAUGUAUAGUUCAAUUUAAGGAUAGUAAUACAAGAAAAAGAAUCGUAUAGUUCGUAGGAAAGUUGUUUAAAGGUCUAUUAUAGAUGAAAUAUAGAAUUUGUAGUGCAUAUCAAAUUUGUGCAAAUUAGUUCGUAUCUUACAUUUUGUAUUACACUUAAAGCCUAACUAAGAGAAAUGAGUUAUAGGUACAUUUUGUUUGUUUGAAAAACACUUUUCUGUUUAAAAGAAAGAUCUUUUUUUUUUAAUUUUUGAUCUGUAAGAGGUUAUUUCUAGAGAUUUAAGUUAAUAGAUAACAAAGUAAAAAAAUUCAACAUUUCAUAUAAAUAGAAAAAUAGAUUAUUUUUUUGUUUGAAGAUGUUAUUUUCAUAUCAGUUUUUGUACAUUGAAGUGAAAUUCUAGUUGGUACAAUAUUCUUAGACUUGUGGAAAGUAUUCGACCUCGUCAUCCAUUCGGUACUGCUGCAAAAACUUAAAAUAUAUAACAUUAGUAAGGAAACACUAGAUUGGUUUAAAUCAAACUUAAGUACAGUGUAAUAGAUUUCAAAAAUUAUGUAUUUCUGGAAAUAUAUCUGAAUCAAAGCCAAUAAUUCUGGUGUCCCUCAAGGCUCUUUGCUUGGCCCUCUGCUUUUUAUUUUAUAUAUCAGUGAUCUGCCCCAACAUCUGAAAGACUGUUUCACUGAUAUUUUUGCAGAUGAUACAACCUUAAUCGUUAUACUAUAAUGCAAUACGUGAAUUGCGGACAAUGGAGUGUUUUCUAUAUAUAAGGAAUCAUUAAUUAUUUCAGUAAACUUCGAAGGGAAUGAAAAAAAAAGUAACAUGCCAGCUGUAUAAAAUUGUCGCACCUGUUAACAGAAUAAAAAAAAAAGAUGAAACAAUAACUAUUUGGCUUGAAAUAAGACCAUUCAAACAAAAACCUUUUUUAGGUUAUGUUUAUAGACCACCAUCUCCUUUAAUAUCUUGGACUCAUGAGUAUGAAAAAUCUCUUGAAAAGUUAGUCUGUGAAGAAAAAGAAACACUUAUCCUAGGUGAUUUUAAUAUUAAUCUCUUGGACAACAACUCUCUUGUGAAAAAUUGGAUAAAUUUGAAAGUCUCUUUCAAUAUGGUACAAUGGGUUAAAACUUCUGCAAGACUUACACACUCAAGUACAACUCUGAUAGAUCAUGUAUACACAAAUUUGCCUUGUAAGAUAAAACAUGUUCUUGUACCAGAGCUCUCAGCUCUGCAGUUAGUUACCACUUUCCAGUAUGUUUAACUAGGAAAACUUCCUCAAAUUCUGAUGAUCCCAUGCAUAAAAUUAUAUCAUACAGGAAAGUCAAAAAUUUUAAUUAAGACUCUUUUCUAAGUGAUUUACAAUGCCAGCCUUGGAGUACAAUCAACAUAUAUGACGACCCAAAUGAUGCCCUUGAUUAUUAUACAAGCUUUUUUCCUAAAGACUCUUGAUUACCUUGCACCAAUGAAAACUAAACGUGUAAAAUAUACUAAUCAACCAAACUGGUUUUCAAAAGAAAUUCAAUUAGCAAUCAAACAAAGAGAUAAUUUUAAACAUACAGAAAACAAUAUCCAAUACAAACAUUGGCGUACUAAAGUCAAGAAAAUGAUACAUAAAGAAAAAAGAUCAUUUUUUACAGAUACCAUUAAUAAUAACUAUAAAAAAGAUGCUAAGCUGCUGUGGAAAAACUUGAAAGAUUUAACUGGAGAUUCUUCCAAGACCCAGACCAAUUUUAUAAAUGAUGAAUCUGGACAACCAAUAUCUGAUCCAGAAAGGACUGCAAAUACUUUUAAUGAAUAUUUCCUAAAUGUAUUUCAAUCUGUGGAACAGAAUUUAAAUCAAAGUACAAAUUGUUCUCAACAAACAAACAACUCUGUACCUAAAUAUGAAAUACCACUGAUCACCGAAAAAUUUGUGGAAACUCAAUUGCUCAAUAUUGAAUCCAAAAAGUCCACAGGAUUGGAUGGAUUAAGUGCUAAAUUUUUGAAACUAUCAGCUAAUGUUAUAGGAAGGCCUAUAAUUCAAGUACUAAAUCUUAGUAUUAGAAAUAAAAUAUUUCCUGACCAGCUUAAGAUUGCAAAAAUAACACCUACAUAUAAAAAAGGUUCUAAAAGUGAUAAGAAUAACUAUAGGCCAAUUUCAGUUCUCCCUGUUCUCUCUAAAAUAAUUGAACGGCAUAUCUCAGGUAGUCUAAGACACUUCUUAGAAGAAAAUGAUUUCCUGUUCAAAUAUUAAUCAGGAUUUAGAGCAAACCAUUCUUGUGAAACUGCCUUGACAGUGAUUAUUGACAGGUGGAUAAGUGCUAUAAAUUCAAAACAAGUAACAGGAACAGUAUUUCUGGACUUAAUGAAAAACUGCUUGAAAAGUUAGAAAUUUUUAAUCUUAGUGACUCUGCAUUUAUACUUUGGUUUAAAUCUUACCUGUCAGACAGGUACCAAAGGGUCAGUGUCUCAGGUAAGUUAUCUGAACUAGGUCAUAUACAGUCUGGAGUGCCUCAGGGAUCAGUCCUUGGGCCUCUGCUAUUUGUGUUAUAUAUAAAUGACCUUCCAUCUGAACUAAAAGACAUAUUUACAGACAUAUUUGUUGAUGAUACUACAAUAACGGCAACAAGUAAAGCACACACUGAUGUACAAAAUUCUCUUCAAACUGCACUGAACAAAAUUCUCACUUGGUGCCAAAAUAGCUCCAUGUCUUUAAAUGCUAAAAAGACAAAAGCAUUGACAAUUCAGACCACUAACAAAUCCAGAGUGAAUAAUAUUUUUAGCUCAUCUGAUUUUUUGAAAAAAAAAAAGAUGAGUUAUUGUUAUCACAUGAGCGGUGUCAGCGUCAGCGUUGCCUGGUUAAGUUUUAUGUUUAGGUCAGCUUUUCUCCUAAACUAUCAAAGCUAUUGCUUUGAAACUUGCAACUCUUGUUCACCAUCAUAAGCUGACCCUGUACAGCAAGAAACAUAACUCAUCCUGCUUUUUGCAAAAUUUAUGGCCCCUUUUGUACUUAGAAAAUAUCAGAUUUCUUGGUUAAGUUUUAUGUUUAGGUCAACUUUUCUCCUAAACUGUCAAAGCUAUUGCUUUGAAACUUGCAACACUUGUUCACCAUCAUAAGCUGACCCGUACAUCAAGAAACAUAACUUCAUCCUGCUUUUUUCAAGAAUUAUUGCCCCUUUUGGACUUGGAAAAUCAGAUUUCUUGGUUGAGUAUUAUGUUUAAGUCAGCUUUUCUCAUAAACUAUCAAAAAAGCAAUACAUGUACUAGUUUACAAGUCUCUGAAUAAUAUAUGUCCUGCUAACUUAUUUCAAAUAUUUCCUUAUUAAAAAAAUACAUAUAUGCAUGGUUUGGUAGAAAAUAAUGGUUUUGCAUUAGAUAAGCAACAUGUUUUAUUAGAUAGCAUCUUAAUAUUACUAACUAAGGUCAGAUAUCUAUAUGUCACACUAAGUGGUCAUUUGUAAUAAACACAACAUAUGCAUAUCACAGAGGUGUUAAUUGUGGCCGGAAAUAACAAUGUUUAUGACGGUUUACUUUAAAAAUUCAUGUUCAUCAUAUUUCGAUAUUUCAAUAAAUUGAAAUUACUCAAUCAUAAGAAUUCUUACUACAUUCACAAGUGGAUUUAUUAAAAUUUAAUUUAUAAACAUGGAAGAUGAUUUUACAAAAAUAUAGUGUUAAUGAAUGACAGUAACCAGGAAUAACAAUUUGGAUUUUUUCUGUUCUGUAAAUACAUUUUUGUUUUAAUUUAAACACUUCCCAUUUGGUAUAAAUACAUUUUUUCCGAGUUAUUUUAUUUUUCCUAAAUAUUCUUUUUAAAAAACUGGAUGUGUCACAAACUGAACAGAAUGAUAUACCGGUAAUAACAUGAUCCAUUCAUAAUAAUAAUAAUAAUAAUGAUAACGACUUUAUUUCAUGAGGCUAACACAUUUGGAUUAUCCAAUCUUCCAUGUGGGCCGCCAGAUCCUUGAUAUGUUACAAUAUUUACAAAGGAUGUAUAUACAAUGACAAAUACAGUAACACAGAACAAUAUUGAAAGGUAUUAAGAAAGAUAUAACAUAGAAUAGAACUAUUUCAAAGACAACUCUACAGUAAAGCAGUUUUAUUAAAUUCCACCAGAGAACUUCCAAGUCAAAUACAUCUUCUUAAAUGAAGUUAAGUUUUCUGCUGUUCGCACAUGAAUUGGAAUAUUGUUCCAAAUCUUCGGCCCAGCAUAUGCCAGGGACUUCAUAAAGAUUUCAAGUUUGGGCUUAGGUAAAUACAGUAGUUUGUUUGUUGUUGAUCUAAGGCUCAUGGUGAGCUUUUGUGACCGCUCGAUGUCCGUCGUGCGUCGUGUGGCCAUCAACAAUUUCUAAAAUAAUCUUCUUCUUGAAAACCACUGGGCAGAAUUACACCAAACUUCACAGGAAUGAUCCUUGGGUGCCCUUUCAAAAUUAUUCAAAGAAUUAAAUUCCAUGCAGAACUCUUGCUGCCAUGGCAACCGAAAGGAAAAACUUAAAAAGUCUUCUUGUCCAAAACCACAGGGCCUAAGGGCUUUGAUAUCUGGUGUGUAUAAUCAUCUAGUGGUCCUCUACCAAAAUUGUUCAAAUUAUCCCCCCAGGGUCAAAUAUGGCUCCGCCCCGGGGGUCACAUGGUUUAUAUAGACUUAUAUAGGGAAAACUUUGAAAAUCUUCUUGUACAAAACCACAUGUCCUAGGGCUUUGAUAUUUGGUAUGUAGCAUCAUCUAGUGGUUCUCUACCAAGAUUGUUCAAAUUAUCCCCCUAGUGUCAAAUAUGACCCCGCCCCUUGGGUCACAUGGUUUAUUUAGACUUAUAUAGGGAAAACUUUGAAAAUCUUGUACAAAAUCACACGGCCUAGGGCUUUGAUAUAUGUAGCAUCAUCUAGUGGUCCUCUACCAAGAUUGUUCAAAUUAUCCCUCUAGGGUCAAAUAUGGCCCUGCCCCGGGGGUCCCAAGUUUAACAUAGACUUAUAUAUGAAAAAAGUUUAAAAAUCUUCUUGUCUGAAACCACAACACUUAGACCUUUGAUAUUUCGUUUGUAGCAUUGUCUUAUAGUCCUCAACCAAAAUUGUUCAAAUUGUACCCUUUGGGUGAAAAGAGGCCCUGCCCUGGGGGUCCAAAGAUUUAUAUAGACUUAUAUAGGAAAAAAAACUUCUUGUCUGAAACCAUACGACCUAUGCUUUUGAUAUUUGGUAUGAUGCAUUGUCAAGUAGUCCUCUACCAAAAUUGUUCAAAUUAUGCCCAUGGGGUUAAAAGAUGCCCCGCCCUGGGGUCACUUAGUUACUAUGUGAGUUAUAUAGGAAAAAAAUACUUAAAAAAUCAUUUGAUCCUAUUUCAAAGACUGUUAGAUAAUAAUUACCUGAUGACCCCAAGUAAUAUGAUGUCACUUGACUGUGACCUUGACCUACUUGCUUGUUUUUUAAGAUACAGCCUUAAAAUUUUGAUGACAUACAGUUUUGCACACCGAUCUUAAAACUGAAUAUCAUUGACCAUGAAUGUGACCUACUGACUUUCUUAAUAUUUUAUCAUCAGUUUGAUCUUUGAAACAUGUAGCUCAUAUUACUCAGGUGAGCGAUCCAGGGUCAUCAUGACCCUCUUCUUAUUGUUUGAGUUGCAAAAUUGAAACUGGUUUCACCUAGUAAUCAAAUCGGGUCCAGUUAACUGAGGAACCAUCCCAUUCCUAUUUUAAAUCUGGCGCUGAUUUCAAGUUUGCUCUCCUACUUUUUUCUUGUCCGAUUAUGUGGAAAGUUACAGGAAACAUAAUGGUGAAAAUACCAUGGCGAAUUUGGCAACUAUUAAAGGAAGUGUCUAGCUGUCAAGUAUCAGGAUGCCCAGCCAGGGAAUUUUCUAGCCAUCCAGUAAUAAAUUUCUUGAGCCACGCCAUGAGAAAACCAACUUAGUUCGUUUGCAACCACCACUUAUCCAGACCAUCCUGCGAAUAUCCGCCCUGAGUCUGGUCAGGAUUCAUGCUGGUCAGAAAGCCACUAUGUUGGUUUUCUCAUGACAUGGCUCUCUUAAUGAAUAAACUUACUGAUACCUGCUAUUUACUAAAGAUAAUUUGAUACUUAAUGUGCAAACAAAAUUUUGAUUUGAAACAAGAUUUUAGAAAAGCAUUGGUUCCUGAGUAAACAUUAAGUGAACAUGUGUUAAUUCCAGACUAAGCAAAAAUAUAAAAGAAACAAUAAGCUUCUGAACAACAGAAAUGAGUUGUUGUUGAGCUUGCUUGCAAUGAGCUGGACCUAGUCCAUCAUUUUGGCGGGUAGGUGUGUGUCUGUGCAUCUGGACGUCCGUCCGAUUUUGUCCGGAUCAUAACUUUUACAUGCAUCUUGUUUAUAUUUAGCAUGAAUGUUUAUACCUAAGUGAGAAGAUGUGACAUGCAUAAACUCCAUGUUCCUAUCUCAAAGGUCAAGGUCACAGUUGGGGUUCAUAUUUCAAAUUGAAGUUCUUCUUCAUGCAUGGUUGGAUUUUGAAGUAACUUGGCAUGAAUGUUCACCUAUGAAUUUGCAGGUGGCACUGCAGUUAAGUGCUUUUGCUUUAUGUUCCUGAUUGCCAAAAACUGACUAGAGUGUCCAAUUUGUAUGUUCUUACAGCUCAGUUUUAGUGAUUUUUACCAGUGUGACUGAAGCAUUUGUAGUUUUACAAAAGAACUAAAAGUUUAAAAAAUGCUGCACAACAUACCUUAAAGUAUUUAUGAAGAAAUGAUAUUCUCAUCCUAUUUCAAAAUAAUUACAUAGGUAAUUUCAUAAACUUGGAUUUGGUUGAAGAAUUUCAUUUUAGAUUAAUCUCAUGAUUUUUAAUUACUUGAAACAAAGUAGAUGGAGGAAAAUACAUGUAGGCAUAACUAUACGUUUUCACUUUGUCAUUAUAAUGUGAAUACAUUUGUUUUGAAUUCUUCUGAUAUUGUAUUUUCAAGUUUACAUUAUUUUGCUGAAUCCCCUCCAUAUUUCAAUGUAAGAAUGCUUCUUACACCAUGUAGGAAGAGGUCUGGGUUCAAGUCCCAGUGGAGAGUAUUAUACUACUGGGUAUAAAAAAGUUGUAGACUGGACAAAAACAUACCUCCUUUGCAUAAAAAGUGACUUAAAAGGAAAUGUAAAAAAUAUAGUGUAAGCCCCACCCCUAAUAUACCAAACUCAAAAGCUAUACAAUAUACAUAGCUUUAAUAUGUUUGUAUUGUUAUAUUCAACAAUGAUAUUGUUUACAGACAAUAAAUAAAUAUUGAAUUGAUUUCACAAAAGGUACGUUUAACUUAAUACCUGUUGUGCGAUCUUUGAAUUUUCAGUUCAGUUUCUCAAUUGCCAUUCAAGAUACUGCUGUGAUACGUCAUAGGAUAGUGAAAUGUAAUUACUGAAUGUAAAAGGCAUGCACAUGCAUUCCUACAUCAAAAGUAAAGUUCACAUAUAUGGUUAAAUGUCAGACUUUGUGUACAUUUGUACACUAGAAAAGGUUCCCCUGCUAUUUACACUGUCAGGAAAAGUCAUCCAGUUUAAUUGAGUGAACAGUUCUUCAGAUGGAGCAUCAGUUGAUUUAUCAAGAAUAAUACGUGCAGCCCUUUUUAGCUCACCUGAACACAAAGUGCUCAAGGUGAGCUUUUGUGAUCGCCCUGUGUCCGUCGUCAGUCGUCCGUCCGUUGUCCGUCGUCGUCAACAAUUUGACUUUUAACACUCUAGAGGUCACAGUUUUAGCCUAAUCUUAAUGAAACUUGGUCAGAAUGUUACCCUCAAUAAAAUCUUGGACAAGUUUGAUAUUGGGUCAUCUGGGGUCAAAAACUAGGUCACCAGGUCAAAUCAAAGGAAAAGCUUGUUAACACACUAGAGGUCACAAUUUUGGCCCAAUCUUAAUGAAACUUGGUCAGAAUGUUACCCUCAAUAAAAUCUUGGACGAGUUUGAUAUUGGGUCAUCUGGGGUUAAAAACUAGGUCACCAUGUCAAAUCAAAAGAAAAGCUUGUUAACACACUAGAGGUCACAAUUUUGACCCAAUCUUCCUGAAACUUGGUCAGAAUGUUACCCUACAUAAAAUCUUGGACGAAUUUGAUAAUAGUUUUCUUGAGUGCAGAUUUAGACAGUAUUUGAUACGCAUUAAAAGAUAUGAAAGGGAGUUGCAUAUCUUAAGUGUUUGGUCAACAUGUUUUUUCCAGUUCAAGUUCUCGUCUACAUGUACGCCUAAUAAUUUUUCUUCAGUUGAGUGACUCAAAGCCUGAUUGCUUAAGAAAAUUGCAGAUUCAUUAGUCUGAUUUAAAUUGUUUUGUACAUGAUGUGAUUUAGAUGAAGAGAGAUACCUUUCUUUAGUUUUCUGAACAUUUGGAAUCAUUGCAUUUUGUUUGCACCAUGUUUCAGUAAUAUUAAUUUGUGACUGAAGUGAAUACUUGAUUUCAGUGAUUGUUUUGCCAAAAGCUGAUGUUGUAUCAUCAGAAACAUAUCACUUUGUGCUGGAUUAUUUAUGUAAAUUAUGAAAAGUAAAGGCCCAGGGUAACCUGAACGUCAGCGCGUUCUGGCAUCAACGUCAUUCAGCAACGCCAAAAUGGCAGGCGAGGGAGUCGGAUCUGUUAUUGCUUUUAGAUGAACUUAUACAGGAUAUAAAUAAUGAAUUGGUCACAUAUCAGUUUGUUGAAAGCAUGAAAUAUGAUAAUACGAAAUCGAAAACAAAAUUGGACCUUAAAAAUGUAGAGGUAUUUCUAAAAAGUGUCAGAGAAAAGCGGCAGAUUCAAAUAAACUUACACUAGCUGUGAAUUGUGAGUAAUUGAGAAUUUAAUAUACAACUUGGCUGCAUUAUUGAAUCACUUUUAGAGAACUGCUAAUUUAUUUAGUAACACCUUGUCACGUUUAACUGUGCUGUGCUUUUACAGCCUUUGAUAAAAAAUGUUUGCUAAUAAACACCAAAGACUAUUAAAAUGAAGCAAAACCCUAAUGAACUCCAUUGGCUUCCUGUGCAGUGUAGGGUAGAAUACAAAAUUCUGACACAUACAUAUAAGGUGCUCAAAGAUCAGGCACCAGCUUAUGUAGUGAACAUGUUAGAAAUAUAUACGCCAUCCAGAAAUCUGAGAUUGCAGAAUAAUGCAUCAAGACUAGUUGUGCCCAAAUAUCGAACUGUGAUUUGGUGACAGGAGCUUUGAGACAACAGCUGCAAGGUUAUAGAAUGUGCUCCUAUCAGGCAUAAGAGACUGUAAAACCUUGCACAGUUGAAAAAAACCCGCUAAAGACGCAUUAUUUCAAACAAUUCUUUGGAAACUAAUCUCACUAAUUACUUGGUAGAAUAAUGUAGGUACUUUGCUGGCUAAUCAAGAACUCGAUCAAUAAAUUUAGUGCGACAUGUUAAUAUAAAGUGUUUUGUUUGUUUGAUGUUGUCGCAGACUUAGCGAUUGUAUAAAAUAUAUUGUUUAAAUUUUCCGGCGGACCCUAUUCUUUUAUUUAAGUUCUCCGUCGGCACUUAUAUUCGUGGAUUACAUUUAACAUGUAUUUUAUGUUUUUCAUGCCUUCCUUUUGUUUUUAAAUAGUAUUCUUGGCAGGAAAGCCUUAUAUAAAUAAAUAGAAUGACUUGUGUCAACUGAAAAGGACUCGAAAUAAGUUGGAUGUAAUUACAGAAGGUUGUGUUCAUGAUAAAAUAAAUAGGUAAAAUUAAAUGGAAUAACUUUGAUAAUAAGGUUUUACUUUUAUUUUAUAUCCAAUGUGUGGAUAAAUAAGGUAUAAUAAAAAAUAAAAUCAGAAUAUCCACGACAGAUGUACAAUGGGUGUUCUCCGGACCGUUUAGAUGGGGAUUGACCCGAUCAUCUGCGACGGUUUGCAUGCUCUGGUGCAUUUCACAGGCAUCAUAUUUGUUAAUUCUGUCUGUUCAGAAAUGUAGGAUAUCUUUUGUUCUAUUUUGCUCUUACGUACCUGUGUCUUUGAAGGUCAGUUGAAUGUUUAUGCUAUUGUUUUUUGUUUGCUUGUUUGUUUGUUUUUGAUCUGCUUACCUGUAUUUUGAAACGCUAUCUUAUAACCGUAAUAUAAUUUUAAAUUCAUUAGUUCAUUCUAUAAUUGUUCAAUUACCUUUUUAGCUCACCUGAGCAAGAAGUGCUCAAGGUGAGCUAUUGUGAUUGCCGUGUCCGUCAUCCGUUGUUUGUCGGCGUCAACAAUUUGACUGUUAACACUCUAGAGGUCACAAUUUUGGCCCAAUCUUAAUGAAACUUGGUCAGAAUGUUACCCUUUAAAAAAUCUUGGACAAGUUUGAUAUUGGGUUAUCUGGGGUCAAAAACUAGGUCACCAGGUCAGAUCAAAGGAAUAGCUUGUUAACACCCUUGAGGUCACAAUUUUGGCCCAAUCUUAAUGAAACUUGGUCAGAAUGUUACCCUCAAUAAAAUCUUGGACGAAUUUGAUAUUGGGUCAUCUGGGAUCAAAAACUAGGUCACCAGGUCAAAACAAAGGAAAAGCUUGUUAACACUCUAGAGGUUACAAUUUUGGCCCAGUCUUAAUGAAACUUGGUGAGAAUGUUACACUCAAUAAAAUCUUAAAGUAGUUUGAUAUUGAAUUAUUUGGGGUCAAAAACUAGGCCACCAGGUCAAAUCAAAGGAAAAGCUUGUUAACAUUGUAGAGGCCACAUUUAAGAAGGUAUCUCCAUGAAACUUAGUCAGAAUGUUAACCUUGAUGCUCUUUAGGCCCAGUUUGAAUCUUGGUCAUGUAGGGUCAAAAACUAGGUCACCAGGUCAAAUCAAAGGAAAAGCUAGUUAACACUCUAGAGGUCACAUUUAUGACCAUAUCUUAAUAAAACUUGGUCAGAAUGUUCAUCUUGAUGAUCUUUAGGUCAAGGUUAAAUCUGGGUCAGGUGGGGUCAAAAACUAGGUCACUUGGUCAAAUCAAAGGAAAAGCUUGUUAACACUCUAGAGGCCACAUUUAUGACUUUUUUUCAUGAAACUUAGUCAGAAUGUUAAUCUUGAUGAUUUUUAGGUCAAGUUCGAAUCUGGGUCUUGUGGGGUCAAAAACUAGGUCACUGGGUUAAAUCAAAGGAAAAGUUAGUUAGCACUUUAGAGGCCAUAUUUAUGACUGUAUCUUAAUGAAACUUGGUCAGAAUGUUAAUCUUGAUGAUCUUUAGGCCAGAUGGGGUCAGAACUAGGUCACCAGGUCAAUUUAAGGGAAAAGCUAGUUAACACUGUGUAAGCCACAUUUAUGACCAUAUCUUAAUGAAACUUGGUCAGAAUGUUAAUGUUGAUGAUCUGUGGGUCAAGUUUAAAUCUGGGACAGGUGGGGUCAAAAACUAGGUCACCAGGUCAAAUCAAAGGAAAAGCUUGUUAAAUCUCUAGAGGCCACAUUUAUGACCAUAUCUUAAUGAAACUUGGUCAGAAUGUUAAUCUUGAUGAUCUUUAGGUCAAGUUUGAAUCUGGGUCAUGUGGGGUCAAAAACUAGGUCACCAGGUGAAAUCAAAGGAAAAUCUAGUUAACACCCUAGAGGCCACAUUUAUGACCAUAUCUUAAUGGAACUUGGUCAGAAUGUUAGUCUUGAUGAUCUUUAAGUCAAUAGGUCAGGUGAGCGAUACAGGGCCUUCAUGGCCCUCUUGUUUAUUGAAAGCUAUAAAGAUGUUUCUAUAUAAAGCACUAAAAAUUUGUAUGCAUUUUAACAUGAAAAGAGUGCUAAAUAAAUUUGGUAUAUAAUAAUGAUGAUGAUAAUAAUAAAAAUAUGAAAUCAA